GACGAACGCUGGCGGCGUGCUUAACACAUGCAAGUCGAACGGAAAGGCCCUGCUUUUGUGGGGUGCUCGAGUGGCGAACGGGUGAGUAACACGUGAGUAACCUGCCCUUGACUUUGGGAUAACUUCAGGAAACUGGGGCUAAUACCGGAUAGGAGCUCCUGCUGCAUGGUGGGGGUUGGAAAGUUUCGGCGGUUGGGGAUGGACUCGCGGCUUAUCAGCUUGUUUGUGGGGUAGUGGCUUACCAAGGCUUUGACGGGUAGCCGGCCUGAGAGGGUGACCGGCCACAUUGGGACUGAGAGACGGCCCAGACUCCUACGGGAGGCAGCAGUGGGGAAUAUUGCAAAAUGGGCGGAAGCCUGAUGCAGCAACGCCGGGUGCGGGAUGACGGCCUUCGGGUUGUAAACCGCUUUCGCCUGUGACGAAGCGUGAGUGACGGUAAUGGGUAAAGAAGCACCGGCUAACUACGUG
rnacentral:rRNA from 1 species